rnacentral:lncRNA from 1 species
AUGCGAGGGGUCACAGCACCUGGAGCUCUGAGAGAGGUGAUAAAUCUCGCUGAGGCUGCAUGGGGAAGAGGUAGUGUGUGCAGGGAAGUUAUGGGGAGCAAUUCUGGUGUGCUGUUUCAGCCUCAGGGAGAAAAGCCUCUGCAGAAGCUUAAGAAGGCCUUCAAGCAGCUGCUAAGUAGAGGAGUACAGCACCUUCAGCAGAGUGAAUCAGAACCUCGUGGGACCAGACCUUUAUCUUCUUGGUGGAUGCAACUAUCAAUUGAUAGAUUCUCUUGCUGUGCCUGUCUGAAGAGCCUCACCAUCAUGCCAGACACUUGGGCUCAGGAAGGGCUCCCCAGAGCCCCCACUCGGAUGCCUUCACCGUCCUUCUCUUCCCGUUCUGCCCGGCAGCCGUGGAUCUCCUUCCAUGCUCGGCGGGGGUACUGA